GCCUCGGUGGCUUAGGGGUAUAGCGCGUCCUUGGUAAGGACGAGGUCGGGGGUUCAAAUCCCCCCCGAGGCU
rnacentral:tRNA from 2 species